UAUUUGUGGUGAACUAGUGUGCACAUAGCUGCAGCCAAAGCCCUGACCAGAGCUCUACUGGUGCUGAGCAGACUGGAGGCGACCCGGGUAGAAGUGCCGGGUCAGGAUCGAGCCAAUAGAGCGGCGGGCGGCCAUCUUUUCUGGAGGAUAAUUAAUGCAUGGCGAGCUGGAGGGCUGAUCUGAUCUAAUCCUGAUCUAACACCGGACUUCAUCCUAAACAGGACUGUGAGGGAAGAUUUCCUCUGCUUCACUGUUGGUUGCAUUGUGUUGUGUGAAGAAGACGUUUGAUCAGCCUGUGCUGCCUACCAGACCUCCUGAGGCUCUAAGGUGAUGGCGUCGUCCUGACUUGUUUCUUCUUCUCGUGACCCGGGAGUCCCUAAAUCCCAACCCACAUAGCUUUGGAAAACCCUGGAAAUACCUGGAAUUCUAGGAGUAUAUCACCAAAACUUCUUAAGGUGCCCAGGCGCCGGAUCAAUAGCUUUACAUUCUCCUUUAUUAUUUUGUUCAGUAUACAAAGAAAGAGACGAAAAAGUCUGAACGUUAGCAAUAGCCGCUGGCCAUCCGCCGCCGCUCCGACCAACCCGCUGUGACCGAGAGGGCGUGACCUUUCUGCCUGCCGACUUCAAACAGACACUUGAAAAGAAAACGCAGUCAGAGAGGCUUCCG